rnacentral:rRNA from 1 species
UACGGAGGGGGCUAGCGUUGUUCGGAAUUACUGGGCGUAAAGCGCACGUAGGCGGCUUGGUAAGUUAGAGGUGAAAGCCCGGGGCUCAACUCCGGAACUGCCUUUAAGACUGCAUCGCUUGAAUCAUGGAGAGGUUAGUGGAAUUCCGAGUGUAGAGGUGAAAUUCGUAGAUAUUCGGAAGAACACCAGUGGCGAAGGCGACUAACUGGACAUGUAUUGACGCUGAGGUGCGAAAGCGUGGGGAGCAAACAGG